GCCUGGCUGGCUCAGUUGGUAGAGCAUGUGAUGCUUGAUCGUGGGGUUGUGGGUUCAAGCCCCACAUUGGGUG
rnacentral:tRNA from 1 species